rnacentral:rRNA from 1 species
UGAGGAAUAUUGGUCAAUGGACGCAAGUCUGAACCAGCCAAGUAGCGUGCAGGAUGACGGCCCUAUGGGUUGUAAACUGCUUUUAUAUGGGGAUAAAGUGGGGAACGUGUUCCCUUUUGCAGGUACCAUAUGAAUAAGGACCGGCUAAUUCCGUGCCAGCAGCCGCGGUAAUACGGAAGGUUCGGGCGUUAUCCGGAAUCAUUGGGCGUAAAGGGUACGUAGGCGGAUAAGCAAGUUAGAAGUGAAAUCCUAUAGCUCAACUAUAGUAAGCUUUUAAAACUGCUCAUCUUGAGGUAUGGAAGGGAAAGUGGAAUUCCUAGUGUAGCGGUGAAAUGCGCAGAUAUUAGGAGGAAUACCGGUGGCGAAGGCGACUUUCUGGCCAUAUACUGACGCUGAGGUACGAAAGCGUGGGUAGCAAACAGG